rnacentral:rRNA from 1 species
AGGGCGCACAGUCAGUGGGGGUAGACGCGAAACCAAGUGAUCUACACUUGGCCAGGAUGAAGUCCCGGUAACACGGGAUGGAGGUCCGCACCAAUAAGCGUUGAAAAGCUUCUGGAUGAGCCGAGUGUAGGAGUGAAAGGCCAAUCAAACUUGGAGAUAGCUCGUACUCCCCGAAAGGCAUUUAGGUGCCGCGUCGGAUGGUCACCGUGAGAGGUAGAGCGACCGAUAGGACAAGAGGGCUUCACCGCCUAUCGAGUCCUGACGAACUCCGAAUGCUCACGGUCUGCAGUCCGGCAGUAAGGGGGCGGGUGCUAAGGUCCGUCCCCGAGAGGAGAAGAAUCCAGACCGCCGUCUAAGGUCCCGGAGUUCUGCCUGAGUUAGUCUAACGAAGUCUGGUCCCUAUGACAGCUAGGAUGUUGGCUUGGAAGCAGCCAUUCAUUCAAAGAGUGCGUAACAGCUCACUAGUCGAGGGUCCGGGCAUGGAUAAUAAUCGGGUAUAAGGCAGACACCGAAGGCGCGGGAUAGCAAUUAUAAAAGUAUCGGUAGGGGAGCAUACUCACAGCGUCGAAUGGUGUACGUAAGUUAUCCUGGAGCGGUGAGUAAAGCAAAUGUAGGAAUAAGUAACGAUAAGGAGGGUUAGAUUCCCUCCCGCUGUAAGACCAAGGUUUCCCGGGCAAUGCCAAUCAGCCCGGGGUCAGUCGGGUCCUAAGUCUAAGCCGAACGGCGAUGGCGAUGGCAGAGACGGUUAAUAUUCCGUCACUGCCGCAUGGGGCGACGUGGAGACGGAGCAGUGAAACCACCGCGGGGCGACGGAAGUCCCCGUUGAAGAGUGUAGGUGUUGAGGAUGGCAGGCAAAUCCACCAUCCGAGCUGAACUUGACAGUAUGGAGUCUUCUCCGGAAGAAUCCAAUAGUGUGGGUAAUCAUACUCCCGAGAAAAUCCGCUAAGCUUAACCCAUGCGGCACCCGUACCGCAAACGGACACACGUGGUCGGGUAGAACAUA